GACGAACGCUGGCGGCGUGCUUAACACAUGCAAGUCGAACGAGUGGCGAACGGGUGAGUAACACGUGAGUAACCUGCCCCUUCUUCUGGAUAACUGCUUGCAAGGGUAGCUAAUACGGGAUAGUGGGGGAUGGGCUCGCGGCCUAUCAGCUUGUUGGUGGGGUGAUGGCCUACCAAGGCGGUGACGGGUAGCCGGCCUGAGAGGGUGGACGGCCACAUGGGGACUGGGAGACGGGCCAAACGCCUACGGGAGGCAGCAGGGGGGAAUAGUGCACAAUGGGGGCAAGCAGGAUGCAGCAACGCCGCGGGCGGGAUGACGGCCUGCGGGUUGUAAACCGCUUUCAGCGAUGACGCGGUAGUGGCAGAAGAAGCACCGGCUAACUACGUGCCAGCAGCCGCGGUAAUUC
rnacentral:rRNA from 1 species